UACGGAGGGUGCAAGCGUUAUCCGGAUUCACUGGGUUUAAAGGGUGCGUAGGUGGGCAAGUAAGUCAGUGGUGAAAUCUCCGGGCUUAACCCGGAAACUGCCAUUGAUACUAUUUGUCUUGAAUACUGUGGAGGUCAGCGGAAUAUGUCAUGUAGCGGUGAAAUGCUUAGAUAUGACAUAGAACACCAGUUGCGAAGGCGGUCGUCUGGACACAUAUUGACGCUGAGGCUCGAAAGCAUGGGGAGCAAACAGG
rnacentral:rRNA from 1 species